rnacentral:lncRNA from 1 species
ACAUGCCAGCCAGAUGAAUUAAACCUUAAGAGAAGUUUGUCCCAUUUUAAGUUAGUGUGUCUUGACAUGUGCUGACAGCAGUUGUUGAAAUUUGGCUUCAGGGAAUAGCUUCCAGACUGCGGGCAGGAGGACAGAAGAGCUGAAGUACGUGAGAUCUAAACCUGGAAGAUGACUGAGAGUGGAGGAAAUGGAUUCAAACCAAUUCACUUGGAGAACGUAAGCCAAGCACAA